UACGUAGGGUGCAAGCGUUAAUCGGAAUUACUGGGCGUAAAGCGUGCGCAGGCGGUUUUGUAAGUCAGAUGUGAAAUCCCCGGGCUUAACCUGGGAACUGCGUUUGAAACUACAAGGCUAGAGUGUGGCAGAGGGGGGUGGAAUUCCACGUGUAGCAGUGAAAUGCGUAGAGAUGUGGAGGAACACCGAUGGCGAAGGCCAGCCCCCUGGGUUAACACUGACGCUCAGGCACGAAAGCGUGGGGAGCAAACAGGA
rnacentral:rRNA from 1 species